UGAGGCUGCUUGGAAAUUGACAAUUCGGGAAGAAUCAAUGGAGAGCUGCAUUUUUGAUGGAUGAACCAUUAGAAAAUUCUACAGCAUUUUUCCCAUGACCUUUCCUGAAGACAGAUGAAUAGCCUUUCAAAGGAUGUCCCUGAAGAGACGGACAACUAGAAGUGGGAAAGAGGAAACGGUAGAAGUGUAGCGGAGCCCACGUGGACCUUCACAUUGAGGAAGAUAUUAGAUGGCCCGUGUGGACACCAGAGUCUCAGGGUCCCCUGGUCUCUUAUUUAGACAUCUGGUCAACAUCCAUUUAAAGGAGAAGGUGCAGGAGGGUGUGGGAGCGUGUACCAGCCUGCCCUUCUGUGAAAGACCUUCUGUUACUGUGGAGUAAGUUACUCAGGGCUCUCACCUCCCACUCCAGGUACCUAUUGGAACAGUCCUUCCAGCAGCUCCUAACGUUUUCUUCCAGGACAGUUUGGGUGGACACGGUCUUCUGUGCUCAUGAAAUUUCUAGUGCUGAGUCACUGUCCCGACCUUUUCCCACCCCUUUACAUUCACUCCCCAAGAAGCGACCCUGAUGACCCGUCUUGAAUCCACUUUUCCAGCCAGUGCUGUUACAAACAAGAAUUGCACAUAUAUACAUAUAUGUGUACAAUAUAUAUGUAUAUAUGUGUGUGCAAUAUAUAAGUAUAUAUGUGUGCAAUAUAUAUGUAUAUAUAUGUGCAAUAUGUAUAUGUGUGUGUAUAUAUAUAUAUUUGUAUUUAGUGCAUUUAUUUAUUUAUUUAUUUUUUAUUCCCAUAGGUUUUUGGGGAACAGGUGGUAUUUGGUUAUAUGAGUAAGUUCUUCAGUGGUGAUUUGUGAGAUUCUGGUGCGCCCAUCACCCAAGCCAUAUACAUUGAACCCAAUUUGUAGUCUUUAAUCCCUCACCCCCUUCCCACCCUUUCCCCCUGAGUCCCCAAAGUCCAUUGUAUCAUUUGUAUGCCUUUGCAUCCUCAUAGCUCAGCUCCCACUUAUGAGUGAAAACAUAUGAUGUUUGGCUUUCCAUUCCUGAGUUACUUCACUUAGAAUAAUAGUCUCCAAUGUUAUCCAAGUUGCUGUGAGUGCCAUUAAUUCAUUCCUUUUUAUGGCUCAGUAGUAUUCCAUCGUAUGCACCACAGCUUCUUUACCCACUCAUUGAUGGAUGGGCAUUUGGGUUGAUUCCACAUUUUUGCAAAAAAAAAUGCAUAUUUUGAAGCAACGUUUUCUAAAAUUUAAUUCUUGGAACUGUAAUUUUACAAAAGCUCAAUGUUUCCUUUUACAACAUAAUAAAG
rnacentral:lncRNA from 10 species